rnacentral:telomerase_RNA from 1 species
GAAGGAUGAUGCAGGGCAGCGCUACUCAUAUCACGUUGAGACUACCAGCUCUGGUAGUGUGAAUGAGCCUUAACCUAACCUAUUGAUCUAGUUCAACUGUUUAAUUACAAAGCAGUUGACGCAGAUCUCUGUUAAUUUUCAGUGUUUUCGUUGCCCUUGAGUUCACAUCAAAAACUGCAAAAGGGUCCAGCGCUGCCUUAUUUUUUGC